rnacentral:lncRNA from 1 species
CAAAAUUCAUAUCCAAAUUCAUAUCCAUUUAGUAUCGAAUAAAUCCGUUCUAUUCGGAUUUGAAUUCGAAUAAAAUUUUGAAUAUUCAUACCCACUGACGUUCCUACUCGAGAGGAGAAAUCACACACUCAAUUUUCUAAUUUUUAGCUUCUAAGCCCUUGUUACCCCCAUAUUAUCCCUAAACACCCUAAAAAAUGGGUGAGGUUAGCUAACCCCACCUCAAAUAAAUUAUUCCGGAUUAGCUAACCCCACCUAACCCCACAAACUCCAACCAAACAUUAUUUUUCAUUCAUAAUAACCCACUAUCUUUCUUAUCACACCUACUCCAACCAAUCAUUAUUCUUCUUUAUCAAUCAUUAUCUUUUUAUCCCACCUACUCCAACCAAACACUAUUUUUCAUUAUUCUAGACUAACUCCAACUCCCAACCAAACACAAAAAAAUUUUAACUCCACUUUAACCCUGAACUUAACUCUAUUCCUGAAAUAACUAUUUUUUUCUUAAUCCCGAACCAAACGGAGGCUAAAUGUUUUAAAAUUACUUCCUUGUU